AGAACACCCGGAGGCUGCCAGUGCGGCCGUUACCCUCCCCCCGCCCUCCCCCACCACGUAGCCCUCUCUACCUUCAGUCGGGAAUCAAUGGUGUGGUCGCAGAUUGGUGACAUCAUUGCCGCGCCGGGCGUGGGAGGAAGAACCACGUGAUUCUACCCUCUUUUGUUUGCGCUCUAGGAAAUCAAGGUUUGCAUUAAAGGGAAGUCCCUCGCAGCAUGAGAAGAUCCAGAGAUUGGAGGUGGAGAGAAACCAUCCAAAAAGGGAGGAGAGAAGGAAACUUCCAGAAGGGAGUGGCCUUACCAUGUCCAGGCUCAAGCAGGAGGAUCACUUGAAGCAAGGAAUUCAAGACCAGCCUGAGCAACAUAACAAGACUCCAUCUCCAAAAAACAAAAACCAAACCAAACAAAACAGAACAGAACAGCAAAACCAUCUGGGCUAGGUAUUUUCCUUGUGUGAAGAUUGUAAAAUACGACUUUGAUUUGUUUAAUAGUUAUGAAACUAUUCAAGUAUUUUCUUUCUCUUUGAGUCAGUUUAAUAAAAUAAUAGGUUCUAGAAUUUUUUCCAUGUCAUCUAAGGGU